UGCAUGCUGGUAUUCCGUGAAGAAGCUCCCUGUGUGCUGUGAGCCUUUGGAAAAAUAAUUCCAUAUUUUAUAACAAAUAACCAUUGAAAACUGUACAGUAAUGGGAAAUACUGAAGUGUAGUUUUAUAUAAUUUUGUCUUCAUCUUGUGAGAUUUAAUUUAUAUUUUUAAAGUCUCCUGUCUCCUAUAUGUGUUAUUUUUGUUUGUAUCUUUUCUUAGUCUGACAAUGAUUUUUCUUUCUGGGGAAGAAAAUUUACAUAACCGCUCCAUAUGUAAAACAGUGUUGCUUGGUGAGUCAUGGUCACAAAAAGUUCCUUUGGAACAUGUGACUGAAUCUCUGCCUCAGCCAAUUUUUUUUUUUUUUUCCCAUGGCCUUCUUUGACACUCUAAGCCCAGAAGCUCCCCACUCGCCUGGCCCCUGCUCUAUGAAGGCCACAUCAGGUGUUACUGGCUUUCCCAGCUGCCUCCUGGCCCUCGAGGGUGAGAACAAACCUCUGGGGACAGGGCAAGAGGUCACCCUUUGAGCCAUCCCUGGACCUCGUGAAGCAGGUGCCACUUAAUUCUAGGAGUUGGAAGGGAGAGAUGCACCAGUCUCCUGCCUCAGCCCCGGAAUCCUGAUCAGGGUGUGAUGCGUUGCUACCAGUCUGCUCAAGAAGCAUCUUUCCAUGGGAGGUGGGGAGUUCAGUGUGUGGGUCUGCUGCAAACACAGCUGGAGCUGGAUAGCCAGGCACCCCUGCAGAAGUUCACCCAGAAGCUGGCAGACUGUCUUUCUUUGAUCCCAGCCCCACUCUGAGACAUGAGCUGAUGGGUGAAUGAAGGAGAAGGCACUUUGCAAAGGCCACGUUUGAAGCUGGAUCUGAAUCCUCUCCUAGCAGCUCAGACCCUCUGCUUUUGCUCUUCAGUCAAAAAGGAAAAAUGCAAAACACUUGGACAAUUGGGAUUCUGGCUCAUUGGUUUCAUAGUUGUACAUCUUUGGACAAGUUACUUACCCUGUCAAAUACUCAAAUUCCUCAUCUGUAAAAUGGAUUAUUUGAAGAGAAAUAAGAUAAUGUAUUUGCAUAUAAAGCCCUUAGCACAGUGCCAGGCCCUCAGUAAAUGUCAGCUCCCUUCUUUCCUUCCCCUUUUGCAAUCCCAUCUUUUUAUGAUAAGAAUUGACAGUAGGUGGAAAAUUCAUUCCUCCUGGACCAGCCCUAUGCAAAGCUGAAAGUCCCAUGUCUCUUUCCUACCUAACUCUUCAUCCAGUUACUCCCCAUACCUCCCAGGUACACCCACCUAGGAGUCUACUUAUCCAGAGAUCUGCCUUUCCUAUGUCUGUCCCUUGGGUUUGCAAUUGCUCCUUCAGGGCAGUGACCACAGCUUUCUGACUUGAUGGGUAGUGUAGAGCACAAAAUCAGACAGAUGCUGUAACAGAACAAACCCUUCUAUUGCUCUACCAUUGUUUUACAACUCUCAUCUUUCCUCUACUUCAUUCCCAUGGUCUGGAUCUAACACCUAGAAUGGCUCCAGUUCUGAAGCUUAACACCCAACUUUCUUUCUGAUAACAGCAUCCCACCCUUGCAGCUCAUUCACUCCCUUAACACACACUUUCAACCCCAGUGUGACCUCUGGUUCCAGAACUGCUCAUUUGGCCCCCAACUCUUUUCUCCCUUUGGCUCUACUUCUUUUCUUACCAUGAUCCAUCACUUCAGUUGUUCUCUCACCAUUUCCCUUUACCUUCGUACCCCAUGGCUGUCCAUCUACUCCAGAACAGUCAGCCCUGGAUCAAUCCAGCCACUUACACUCAGACCAAUGAGCUCUGCUAAGGAAAAUCGCAUCACCAUACAAAUUCACACUUUCCAACCUCCCAGGGCUCAGUGCUGCUGGAAAUCCUUCAUGUGUCUUAGUGUUUCUCCCAUCUCCUUAGCAACUACUCCACAUUCCACUUUUUUUCCUUAAAUCUACCCUUCCAUCUUCCUCUGUCUCCUCAAUGACCUUGCCCCUUAGUUCUACGGUGGGAACUGAGGGCUUCUUUCAAGGUCUUCCUUGCACCCCUUAGCUGCUCAGAGAUUUCAGCCUGGACCAUCCUUUUCCUCUUCCUAAUUCCCUCAGUGGAAGAUGAUCUCACUCCAUCAAUCAUCCCAGAUUUCUUUAUUAAAUUUCAGAUUGUUCCACUCGAUUGGCCCUGUUCCUUCAGUGUGUAAAUUUGCUCACUUUUUUCUCCUCAAAAAAAUUCCUGUCACCACAUUACUUACCCUUAUCCCCAGUUAUUGUAUUAUGGGUCAGGAGUAAAAAUGUUAGCAAGUGAAUAUCCACAGACUCUUCCCUUAAUCCAUCCCCUAAUGAGAGUUCUGUCAUUGCCAUCUUGGCCUUUCCUCUCCCUCCUUCCGCAGGGGAAGGAUUGUCUUUGUCUUUCCUUCUGUUGCAGAAUCUGGGCAAUGAGGUAAGAGGGGACUAGAAGGAACUCAGAGUAGCUGAGUGGAUCUGGAUGGUAAACAGCUGUGCCAAAGAUGAGGAGGAAGAUAAGAGAACUUGCCUGAGUGGGAUUUCCAUAAGCAUUUUAGGGGAAGAGAUGGAGGUUUUAAAAAAUGUAGACUCUUAGGUACCACAGUAGACUCACUGAACCAGAAUAUGCAUUUUUUUCUUCAUGAUAUGGAUUUAACAAGAUUCCCUAGGUAAUCUGUACCUUAAGGUUUGAGAAGCACACACAAAUUAACUAAAAACAGACCAUAGGUAUAAAUAUGAAAACCUAAGAAUAUCAAACUUCUAGAAGAAAAUAUAGGGGAAACACUUAUGACCUUGGGUUGGGCAAAGAGUUCUUAGGUAUAACAAAAAACAGAGCAAACAAAAAACUAUGAUCCAUAAAAAGAAAAAAAUAGAUAAAUUGAACUUCACCAAUAUUAAAAACUUUUUUACACUUCCAAAGACAUGGUUAAGAAAAUGGAAAGACAAGCCACAGAUUGGGAGAAAAUAUUUGCAAGUAACAUAUCUGAUAAGAGACUUGUAUCCAGAAUAUAUAGAAAACUCUCAAAACUCAACAAUAAAAACAAUCCAAAUUAAAAAUGGGCAAAAGAUUUGAAUAUACAUUUCAUUAAAGAAGAUACAUGAAUGGCUAAUAAGUGCAUGAGAGCAAACUCAACAUCAUUAGUCGUCAUGGAAAUGCAAAUUAAACCACAAUGAGAUACCACUACAUACCCUCUAGAAGAGCUAUAAGAAAAACAAUUGGAAAGACCAAGUUUCAUGCCAGUGGGAAUAUAAAGUGGCAUAGCCACUGGAAAAUAGUUUGGCAAAUUCUUCAAAGGUUACAUAUAAACUUAAGAUAGAGUCCAGAAAUUACACUCCUAGGAUUUUACUCAAGAGAAACCAAAUGUGUAUCUACACGAAGAUAUGUAUAUGAUAAUAGCUCAUAGAGGCAUUAUACAUAAUAGCCGAAAACUUGAAACAGUUCAGUUGUUUAUGAAGGCAGGAAUGCAUGAGCGGCAGUGACUCUAGAGGUCACUGUCAUCAGUAGCCAAUCAGGACAGGUGCACAGGUGCUUAGCACUUUCCAGCAUGCCUUUGCUUCCUCCUCUCCAUGUCCAGCACAUGUCCCCAACUGCUAGCCCUACUGACCAAUAGUGGCCCCAGGCCCACCACAAGACACUUGACUGGACCCGUGGAAGCACCAAAGCUUCCCCUAGACCUACCCACGAGGCUCCCUUCAUAAGUGGUUGGACGUGUCUGGCUUCUCAGAUUGAUUGAGUGACUCUUCCCCUGAUCAGCCAACAUCACUUUCAGGCCUUUACUUCCCCAGCUCCUUGCACAACUGUGCAAGGUCUUAUUCCUAUAAUAAGUCCUUCGUCCCAUAACACCAGUCACUCUGUUCCCCUGACUGAACACUGUUAUUGGUGCCAAAAGUGGUUCCAGGGGAACAGAACCUUAAGGAUAGGAAUAUGGAAUUUGUUGACUGAUCUGACUAGAUUUAAAGGCUUAAAGACUCUGUUGCUAAUGGUAAAGUGGACACUGGUAGUCCACGGCAUUUAAGUGACAAACUUACAUGACCACCUGUAAUCACCUGCAAUCAAGCUCCUAGGAAAAACAAGGCAUUGAGUAUUAAGUGGCUGCUUCCACAGAAGAUUAGAGUGCAAAUAAAAAUUGUAAAGAAGUUGGUUGCUCUUAAGUACACUGGAGAGCUUGGGUAAAGAAAAUUAUGAGCUCAAUGCUCUAUAUGCCCAGAUCCAAGUGAUAAACCAGAAAGCCCUGAAAGACACUAUGUCUUCUGUGGGUUCAAGGCCAAGAUUUCUGAAAUCCAAACCCAAGGUCUAAUCUUGAAGGUGGCUGAAUUACAAGGCAAAAAGAAUUUACAUCAGUGAACGUACUGAAAACCAUUGAAUCGUAUGCUUUAAAGGGGUGGAUCACACAGUAUGUGAAUUAUUGGGUUGGCCAAAUAGUUCAUUCGUUUUUUUCCUUACGAUGGCUCUAGAGGUAAUUCGCUGUCUUUAACUUCGUUGAAAAGUUUUGUUAGAUUGUAUUGUGACAGCUGUCACAUCAGCAUGCAUUUAAAAAAAGACAUCAAAAUUGGUGAAUUUUUGUGUAGCCAGUUUAAUAUUGAAGAUGGAAGAAAAAAAGCAGCGUUUUCAGCAUAUUAUGCUUUAGUAUUUCAAGAAAGGUAAAAAUGCAACCGAAACACAAGAAAAAAAAGAUUUUUGCAGUGUAUAGAGAAGGUGCUGUGACUGAUUGAACGUGUCAAAAGUGGUUUGUGAAGUUUCGUGCUGGAGAUUUCUCACUGGAUGGUGCUCCACACUCAGGUAGACCAGUUGAAGUUGAUAGCGAUCAAAUCGAGACAUUAAUUGAGAACAAUCAAUGUUAUACCUCACAGGAGACAGCCGACAUACUCAAAAUAUUCAAAUCAAGCGUUGAAAAUCAUUUGCACCAGCUUGGUUAUGUUCAUUGCUUUGAAGUUUGGGUUCCACAUGAGUUAAGCAAAAAAACCCUUCUUGACUGUAUUUCCGCAUGUGAUUCUCUACUUAGACAUAAUGCAAAUGUUCAGUUUUUAAAUGUAAUUGUGACGGGCAAUAAAAAGUGGAUACUGUACAACAAUGUGGAACAGAAGAGAUCAUGGAGCAAGUGAAAUGAACCAUCACCAACCAUACUAAAGGCCGGUCCUCAUCCAAAGAAUGUGAUGUUGUGUAUAUGGUGGGAUUGGAAGAGAGUCCUCUAUUAUGAGCUCCUUCUGGAAAACCAAACAAUUAAUUCCAACAAGUACUGCUCCCAGUUAGACCAACUGCAAGUGGCACUUGAUGAAAAGCAUCCGGAAUUAGUCAACAGAAAAUGCAUAAUCUUCCAUCAGGAUAACACAAGACCACAUGUUUCUUUGAUGACCAGGCAAAAGCUGUUACAGCUUGGCUGGGAAGUUCUGAUUCAUCCACCGUAUUCAUCAGACAUUGCAACUUUAGAUUUCCAUUUAUUUCGGUCUUUACAAAAUUCUCUUAAUGGAAAAAAUUUCAAUUCCCUGGAAGACUGUAAAAGGCACCUGGAACAGUUCUUUGCUCAAAAAGAUAAAAAGUUUUGGGAAGAUGGAAUUAUGAAGUUGCCUGGAAAAUGGCAAAAGGUAGUGGAACAAAAGGGUGAAUAUGUUGCUCAGUAAAGUUCUUGGUGAAAAUGAAAAAUGUGUCUUUUAUUUUUACUUAAAAACCGAAGGCAAUUUUUGGUCAAUCCAAUACAUCUUUCAAAGCUAUUACCAAAAACCCCCACAAAAUUUACAAUCUUGCAAGUUUUUCUGUUAAAGUUAGGGCAUUGAUUGGGAAGAGAAGGAUUCUGAAAAUUGGGAGGGGGACACAUGGGCAGUUUCUGAUGAACUUGAGGACUUCAGACUUUAAAUUCUGCCAAGCCUCCUGUGUCAGUAGAAGCAAUCCUUUCUUUCCCUGUCUGAGGAGGUCAGCCUCCCAAUCUCAGACCCCAUAAUGAUCUCUCCUAAAGUCGGUGACUUGCAAGGGACUGUUGAUUUCCCUU